rnacentral:lncRNA from 1 species
UUCCGACUUCUUCUAUAGCACUUUUCACCCAGAGAUAUCAACAUGCCUCACACAGAAGAGCAGUAUUAGCAUUGCUAUUAUAAUUACUAUUAUCACUAGCCAACAAAAAAUGUGCAUGUCUGCACAGUGCAGAUGAAUGCAAUCAAUAUGUGCAUCAGGAUACAACAGAUGAGAGAAUGCCAGCCCCUGCCAAAAUGACUCCACAUAUAUUGGGGAAGACGAACACCAAUAAAUCAGGAUCAGAUGUGAUGCAUGUUCAGUUUUUCACCUGUUGCAGACAUUGCUGAGAGCCACAAAUCUAAAUGCUGUGAUCUGAAUGGACUACUUCAAUAAAAUGUG